rnacentral:rRNA from 1 species
CGUAGGGGCGAGCGUUGUCCGGAAUCAUUGGGCGUAAAGGGUUCGUAGGCGGUAAUGCAUGUCAGAUGUGAAAUCUUGUGGCUUAACCACAUUGAGCAUCUGAAACUGCAUAACUUGAGUGAAGGAGAGGUAAGUGGAAUUCCUAGUGUAGCGGUGAAAUGCGUAGAUAUUAGGAGGAAUACCAGUAGCGAAGGCGACUUACUGGCCUUUAACUGACGCUGAGGAACGAAAGCGUGGUAGCAAACAGGAUU